rnacentral:sRNA from 1 species
ACGUGAAGCAUGUUCUGGGAGGUUGACCCAACCUCCUUUGGCUGUGGCCUCAUUCACCCCGUCCUGUCUGUGGCCUCAUUCACCGUGAUAUUAGGUUGAAAAAGCUGGUUGAUGAACGGGAAUGCUUAUUGGAACAGAUUAAGAAACUCAAAGGGCAGCUGGAGGAGAGACAGAAGAUUGGCAGACUAGACAAUCUUCGAUCUGAAGAUGAUGUCUUGGAAAACGGGACAGACAUGCAUGUAAUGGACCUACAAAGGGAUGCCAACAGACAAAUCAGCGACCUCAAAUUUAAACUUGCAAAAUCUGAGCAAGAGAUAACUGCAUUAGAACAAAAUGUAAUAAGGUUAGAGAGUCAAGUAUCACGUUACAAAUCAGCGGCUGAAAAUGCAGAAAAAAUAGAAGAUGAACUUAAGGCAGAAAAACGGAAACUCCAAAGAGAGAUUAUAUAUCUUUGAAUGAUGCAGGCCACUGCAGUGGUGGAGACAGCAUCUGGUAAAGGCUACCACAGUAAUGGAGGCAACCUCCAAAAAG